rnacentral:rRNA from 1 species
UACGUAGGGCGCAAGCGUUAUCCGGAAUUAUUGGGCGUAAAGAGCUCGUAGGCGGUUUGUCGCGUCUGCCGUGAAAGUCCGGGGCUCAACUCCGGAUCUGCGGUGGGUACGGGCAGACUAGAGUGAUGUAGGGGGAGACUGGAAUUCCUGGUGUAGCGGUGAAAUGCGCAGAUAUCAGGAGGAACACCGAUGGCGAAGGCAGGUCUCUGGGCAUUAACUGACGCUGAGGAGCGAAAAGCAUGGGGAGCGAACAGG